CAGAGCUACAAAAGACAGAAAGGAACAAAAGAAAAUUUGUUCACCAUAAGACAUUCAUAUAUGGGCUACCUGGUUGAUCUUCAAGCCAAAAUUAUGAAUGUACCUUGAUAGAUGGUCUGAAACAUUCUGGGUAAGGAAAACUCCAAUCACCGAGUCAACAACUGAUCCCUUCCAUUUUGAAAAACGUCUGUCUCCUGUUCAUUAUAAUUUUUUAUCAAGUGUUGAUGUGCAUGAUAUCUUAUAACGACAUAUCCAUAAUUGAAGAAAAUUAUAAUGAAUUUACGUUUUUCUGGUAUACAUGAGAAGCAAAAAGUAAUUCGUACCCCUGUUAUCUAAUUAUGCAAUCUUUCACAAACAAAAAUGGUACUAUCCUGGUUUUUUACAUGUUUUAUAUGUAGUCAAGUUCGAGUUUUCUUGGUUGAGUUUACAUCUUGCAUUGACUUUCAAGUUGAAUACUUUAGAUUUUCGUGCUGAACUGGAAAUGCAUGUUGCGCUGCAGAUUUCUAUAAAAUUAGCCAGAAAUUGGUACUGAAGGAGAAAACGAAAAAAAAGGGCACGCUAGCAAGUUUUCUGCAGUUAACAUGUUCAUAAUUUUGUUAAUCAUAUCAUUAUUUUUUGCAUUUAUCAUCAUUGUUGAAGUGUUUGAUUUGAUUUGAUGCUAUUAGAACCUCAUUACAUGGUUCCCUGAUUUUAGACUUGAAUUAGAAACAUUCUGUGUUUGCCAGCAUAACAUACAUGUAAUUAUUGUUUUUUCAUUAAUUUUUUUCCUUCCUUAUCAA
rnacentral:lncRNA from 1 species